CCAGCUUGUACGGCCGCUUGCACACUGGCUCUGUGCCUGGCUCAAGCUCAAUGACGAACUCCACUUCACGGUGCGGAGGCAUCCCUGGCAGCUCCUCAGGAAACACGUCCUGAUAUUCGCAGACUACUGGAACUUGCUCAAUGGGAUUGAUCUCACCCUUUUCAUUCAAGGAGAACAAGCGGACUGUGUCAUCGCGCGCCGCGAAUA
rnacentral:lncRNA from 1 species